rnacentral:rRNA from 1 species
GAACUGCCCGUGGAGGGGGAAACUACUGGAAACGGUAGCUAAUACCGCAUAACGUCUUCGGGCCAAAGUGGGGGACCUUCGGGCCUCACACCAUCGGAUGUGCCCAGAUGGGAUUAGCUAGUAGGUGGGGUAAUGGCUCACCUAGGCGACGAUCCCUAGCUGGUCUGAGAGGAUGACCAGCCACACUGGAACUGAGACACGGUCCAGACUUCUACGGGAGGCAGCAGUGGGGAAUAUUGCGCG